GACGAACGCUGGCGGCGCGCUUAACACAUGCAAGUCGAGCGAAGCGGCGGACGGGUGAGUAACACGUGAGUAACCUGCCUUAGACCUUGGGAUAGCCUCGGGAAACCGGGAUUAAUACCAAAUGGUCUAAGAUGGACUCGCGUCCCAUUAGUUAGGUGGUGAGGUAACGGCCAACCACGGCGACGCUGGGUAGCCGGCCGGAGAGGGUGAACGGCCACAUUGGAACUGAGAAACGGUCCAAACACAAAGGGAGGCAGCAGUGUUGAAUAUUGAACAAUGGAGGGAACUCUGAGGCAUCGAUGCAGCGUGAACGAAGAAGGAUUUCGAGUCGUAAAGUUCUUUUAUAUGGGAAGCGGUACCAUAAGAAUGAGCCCCGGGUAACUACGCGCCAGCAGCCGGGGUAAUAC
rnacentral:rRNA from 1 species